CCGUCUGCCUGUUGCCAAGCAUGCGGCCAGCUUGGAAGAGAAGCGUUUUUCCUCUUACCUUUUGAUUAUCUACAUCCUGCUUGGCCCUGUAAAUGUUUCCCAACCUGACUGUGAGUCUGAUUCUGCAGGGCUGGAGUGGCAGAUUCCACACUGAACUUGAUAUCUUGCUCUCCAAAGGUAAGGCCCCAUUUUCCUCAGGGGUGAGUUUUCUCAUAGGAGAGGCUUUGUUCCUUGAUCACCUGACAAGCCCAAAUGUCAGAGGACUCCACUGAGCACUCCACCCCCGCCCUGCUGGGGGAUGCCUCGUCAAGACCCCCAGUACCCAGUGAGAUUAAGAGACUGAAGCUCAGAGAGGUGAAUCACCUGCUGGAGGUCACACAGCCAGGAAGAGGUGGAGCCUGGAUCUCCUGUCCCUGGGCCCUUUGGAGCAGGUGGGCCUCCAAAGAUACACUCUGCUGAGUUCCUGCCGGGUGAGGAGGACUGUGGAUCUGUGCACAACCCUCUCCCUGGGCCCCAGGAACACCAAGAGCCCAGGUCCUACCAGCCAGGCAGCCUUGUGCCUGCCAGCCCUGCCAGCUUCUCUGGGCCAGAUCCAUCACCCCAGCACCAACCAUGCCCUGGGCCUGACUCCAUCCAUCCGGCAUCGACUGUGCUUGGGCACAUUCCUGAGGCGCUGAAUAAUUCAGCUGUAGGAGGUUGCUGCUGAUGGCUCCCAGCUGCCCCUUCGCUGGGGAUGAGCUCACAGCCAAACGAGGGCCAUGCCCCGCAAGGCCGCCCCACACUGCACGACCUGAGCAGACUGUGGCCAGUGACCAGCUGAUGUGGUGCAAAAGGCCACCCCAAGCCUCAAGGUUCGAAUUAUCAGUUGGGGUCACCUUCUUUUGGCUCAAAGGACUUCACUUAGUAUUUCUGAAAGUUGUUUUUUGUGAAGAGAUUGCUCCGAUACAAGCUAAUAAUCCAUCAUAUCCAGAAGCAAAACAAAGAGCAUGGACUUCGGAGACAGACUUCCAGGAAUCGGAUCUCAGUUCCAUCAUUUACUUGUCCUGUGAUCAUGAGCAAGGCAGCUCAGUCCCGCUGCUCAAGUUGGGGAGACAAAAGGGAGCGGUGCGCACUGCGGGGAUCCGCGCCAGGAUAGAGGGUCCCUCCACCCCGCGCCUCGGCGGAGCAGAGCUUGAAACCCAGAACCUCAGACGGCGUCCACCUGGUCGCCCCAACGAGGCCGAGAAUGGGAGCCCAGAUCCUGACCUGGCCGGAUUGGUAGGGGCUUCUGGAUCCCGGGCCCCGGUGCUCUGUCCCGCGGCGCAGAC
rnacentral:lncRNA from 1 species